GCCUGGCUGGCUCAGUUGGUAGAGCAUACAACUUUUGAUCUCGGGGUUGUGGGUUCGAGCCCCACGUUGGGUG